CGCUUGAGUGCUGGGGAACACUCGGAAGUCGUUUUAGCCCCCUUCUGUAUUUUCUUUUAUUACUGAAUCCUAAAACAGCCCGAAGAAGGCGCGGGGUGGGGGGGGGGCGGCGUAAGGAUUAGGGAUGCUUGCCUCCCAUUCAGAGAUAAGGAAACUGAGGUUCAGAAAGGCUGCCAGACACCAUGAAUCUAUGAGAGCGUCACUUGUAAGUAUUAGAACGUGUCCAUUGGAACUAAACAUGUCUGUUUUGCGGGCGAGUCCGCUGGGAACCAGAUUAAGGCAGCUUGCCCAAAGUCACAGAGCUGUGACAUAUUAAGUAGUAUUAAGUAGUCUUAAGAGCUAGGAUUUUGAGGUUCGUUGGUUUCCUACAGGUGCUGUAACAUUACCAGAAACAUGGUGACUUAACAGAAACGUAUCCCUUCACAGUUCUGGAGGCAGGAGACCCCAAAUCAAGGUGUGGGCAGGGCUGCACCCUCCUGGUAGUCUCUAGGGGAAUAUCCUUCCUUGCCUGGUCCAGCUCCCGGUGGCCCCAGGUGGCCCGUGACUUGUGACGGCAUCCCUCCAGUCUCUGCCUCCUGUUGACAAUGCCUUCUCCCCUGUGCAUCUGUGUCAAAUCCACUCCCCUCUCCUUUCUCUUACUGGGCUUAGAGCCCAUCUCAAAUCCAGGAUGAUUUCACGUCAAGAUCCUUAACUUUCUAUCUGCAAGGACCCUCUUCCAACUAAGGUCACAUUGGUAGGUUCCAGGGUGUAGGGCAUGGGAGUGUAUCUCUUCGGGGGACACUAUUCAACCCCCUUCAUGAGGAUUUAUUUGCUUUGUGUAGAGGGUUACUUGGAAGGUCGAAUUUCGCCCUCUCCGCCUCUUGUAGUCCCUUCUGAGGAAAGCACACAUACACAUGUAAAAAUGUACCCUCACACGCCUAGAGUGGAUGAUUUAAGGGAUCACUUUAUUUAUUGAUAUUCGUGAAAAUGCUCUUUAAUUAAAUGACAAUUAGGGGGUUGUUUUCUGCACACAGAGACCCUGGCCAGGAGGGGCUGAAGCAGGCUUUAUAAGGCAGCUCCAGGAUAUUAACCUUUUAUGAGAGGGCAAGUGUGGGUUGCCCCACCAGUCCUGGCUUCAUGUACUUUUAUUUUAUUAUUUUCAUGAACUGCCUUUAUUAAAAUGUGCGACUAAACGUAGCCUUCCCUAAAGAAAUUCACAAAUCAGAAGGUCUUUCAAAGGUAUUAAAAGAAAUCGAAUGCUCUUUGCCAAUCUGUGUGUCCCAAUGCUGGGCCAGGAAAAUAUGGUCGCCACAUGUCCGGGACGGAGGGACUGCUCCUGGGUUGUAUUGCAUAUCCCCGUGCAUUUAAUAAACAGCCACGUUGUAACGUUAUUAUUAAUCUUCCUGUUCUCCUUCCUUGCCAGGUUGUCUCUUGCCGCCUUUUCUCUCCCAGCAAAUAUAAUCUGGGGGCACCUGGGCCCCACCAGACCGGCCUCUCUGAUCACACUCAAGGAUUAACAAUCAGGUAGGUCUAAGCCGGCUCUACCCGAAGCUGCCAUCAUGAGUGCGCUGGGGACUGUGGGAAGUUGUGUCUGGAUCGUGAGGGAGUUACCUUCCCAGGGGGAAAAGGCUUCGGGAAGGACUUGGAAGGGUUUGGUAGAGGCAGGAUAGAGAGAGGACAGGAGAUUGGAGUCUUGAUUUCCUCCACAUGAAGAGUCUAAUUAUGAGAAGACAUCAGAUAAACCCCAAGUGGGGGACAUCCAAAAAAAAAAAAAAAUCCCUGAUCAGGACUCCUCAAAAUUGUCAAGAAGUCUGAGAAACUGUCCCGGCCAGGAGGAGCCUGAGGAGACAGGACAACUAAAUGUAACAUGGGAUCCUGGGACAGAGAAAGAGAAAGGCUGAGGACAUCCAAACAAAGCAUGCCCUUUAGUUAAUAAUAUUGUAUCGAGGGGCGCCUGGGUGGCGCAGUCGGUUAAGCGUCCGACUUCAGCCAGGUCACGAUCUCGUGGUCUGUGAGUUCGAGCCCCGCAUCGGGCUCUGGGCUGAUGGCUCGGAGCCUGGAGCCUGUUUCUGAUUCUGUGUGUCCCUCUCUCUCUGCCCCUCCCCCGUUCAUGCUCUGUCUCUCUCUGUCCCAAAAAUAAAUAAACGUUGAAAAAAUAAUUUAAAAAAAAAAUAAUAAUAAUACUGUAUCGAUUUUGGUUCCUUUGUGACAAAUGGACCAUCGGGCUGCUAACCCGCAGGGGAACCUGGGUGCAGAGUGUGUAGGAACUCUAAUAGUCUCACAACUUUUCUGUAAAUCUAAACAUGAUUCUAAAAUAAAGAGUUCAUUAAAUCUUUUUUAAGGAUAUUUUGAAAAUUAAAGGGAUUUGAGAGGUCGGUAUUUAUAGAUGUGGAAUAAUCACUAAGGUGUGUUAGAAAGGGCAAAAAGCAAGGUGCAGAAGAGAGAACUCUCUCUGCCCCUGCUUGCCUGAUGCUAACCUGCCCCACCAUGAGAAGACCGACCUUUGGAAAGGGCUUCUAUCCAGUAAAAUAACAACGGAUGCCUCAAAUGCCUUCAGGCAUGAUCCUUUCUACUUAAGAUGUCUCAACCCCCUUCCCAGGGGCCCUGUGAAACCCACCUUCCUUCUCAAAACGUCUUUUGGUAAAUGACUUAGAUUUUUAAGGAUACAUCCAGCAACCAUGACUCCCGUUCCCCCAUCCAAUCUGUUCUCCUUCCUACAGCAAACCACUGUCCAAAGUUCUCAUCCAUCUGUCUCUCCAGGGACAGCCAAGCUUGUGGUUGUCACAACAGGAAAGUAGCCACAUCAGUGGAUGUGUGUGUGGCUGUGUUCCAAUAAAACUUUAUUGAUGGACGCUGCCAUUUGAAUUUCCUGUCGGUUUCAUGGAUCCCCAAAUGGUACUCGUCUUUUGAUUUUUUUUUUUUUUUCCAACCACUUAAAAAUGGGAAAACCAUUCUUGGCUGUGAGGUCAUAGAGAAACGGGUGGCUGACCCAAUUUGGCCCGGAACAUAGUUUGCUGACCUGUAUGUAGAAGCAACAUGGGUAGAGAGCCUUUUCCUUUGAGCACCUCUCUUUUAGCCCUUUCUAAAUUUUUUUUAAAUUUUUUUUUUUUUCAACGUUUAUUUAUUUUUGGGACAGAGAGAGACAGAGCAUGAAUGGGGGAGGGGCAGAGAGAGAGGGAGACACAGAAUGGGAAACAGGCUCCAGGCUCCGAGCCGUCAGCCCAGAGCCCGACGCGGGGCUCGAACUCACGGACCGCGAGAUCGUGACCUGGCUGAAGUCGGACGCUUAACCGACUGCGCCACCCAGGCACCCCUUAGCCCUUUCUAAUACACCUUAGCGAUUAUUCCACAUCUAUAAAUACCGACCUGUCAAAUCCUUUUACUUUUCAAAGUAUCCUUAAAAAAAUUUAAUAAACUCUUAAUUUUAGGGUUAUUUUAGAUUGACAGAAAAGUUGGGAGAAUAUUAAAGAGUUCCCACUCACCCUGCACCCGGGUUCCCCUGCGGUUCACGUGGGCAUUCGCGUAGGCCUGGUGCAUUUGUCACAAUCGAACGGAUAUUGAUACAUUAUUAUUAACUCGACUCCGUGCUUUAUUUGAAUGCCCUCAGUUUUUUCCCCCGCGGACGCGGAGGUUCUCACUUCCGUUCCAAGCGUUCCUCUGUUUCUUCCAACAGCAGCUUUUCUGGGGAUCCUGACACCUAGUAGUCUAAUGCAGCCCAGCAAAUAUCUGAGUGACUCCCGUGCAGGCGCUGGGGCUACAGCCGUUAACAAGACAAGCGUCGUCCCUGUGCUCAUGGGGGAUCCCACAUGAGACAACGAAUUCCAAGUGCAGUGAGCAUUCUGAGAAUUAGGAUGUGGUUCCCCAGGGGACUUGAUUGAGGCUGGGGCUUCUGAGAAUCCCGGCUGGCCACAUACUGGCUACGUGGCCCCCAGCAAAGUGCUGAUCCCUGAGCCUGUUGUCUUUUCUACAAAAUUGGGUAAUGGCUGUCAACACCCACGUGUCCCCACCGGGCUCACUGAGGAUUAACCUUCAGCCCACUUGACUUACCUCUCUCCGUGUGUUAUCGUUAUUACAAAACUAGUUGUACUCAUCAUGGCCCUUCACGCUGAGACUCCUCCCCCCAGAUCCAAUCCAUAACCACAGUGCAAUCAUCAAAUUCAGGCACGUUUAGCAUUGAUAUAAUACUUUUUUCUAACACCGCGUAUUCAAAUUUCAGCCAGCGUCUCAACCACCAUUCUGUCCCCUGGUACGCGAUUCAGCCCAAGAUUACACGUGGCAAUCCCUUGUCACGUCUCUUUAGCCUCCUUUAAUCUGCCAAGAUUUCACCAGUGUUUCUUCCCCUGUCGUUCCCCUGAUGGUUCCGAAGGCUGCAGGCCAGUCAUGUUAUACACUGUCCCUCAGGGGAGGCCCAGCCGGCAUUUCCCCACGACUGAAUUGGGGCUAUGCUGUCAAUCUGUCGCCAAGCGGGCGAUGGGAACGCUCGUCAGCAGGGUAAGGGCCAAUCACCCAUGGGGUUUCUAGAAAAUUUGACGGUAUUUACAAAGGCUUAGCGGCAGUCAAUUUUAGUUUGUACAGGGUUACACAAGUCCCGGACGACUGCCUUUCUAUCCAUUGACACACAGGGAAACUGAGGCCCCCAAAGGAGGAAACACUAGCUCAAGAUCACAGGGUAGAAACCAAGGUCAGGUUCAAGCUGGGCUCCUCUGGCCCCUUCUCACCUGUGGCCAUUCCCUGUAAGGGCGGCAAGGGAGGUGCUGGAGACCGCUACCCUGUAUGUCACCACCUGACAGUUUCAGUGUGGCCCUGGCCAUUCACUGCCCAUCACCCCAGAAUCCCCUUCCCCAGAAAAGCAGCCCCCUAUUCCCAGGAACCUGCAGAGGAACCUUGAUGGAUGCAGGAGGCCAUGGUAACCUGAGACAGGAGACCAGGUGUGAGUCACACCUGUGUGGACAUCGGCUAGCUCACCUGUGACCGGUGGCAGCUGAGGACCCCCCCAUCCCCCUGCCUCUUGGCCCUGCUGGGAGCCCAACAUUGGAGAUGUGGGGGGCCCUUCUUGCCCUUGGCGGUGAACCGUAAAGAUUCACCUGGAGGCACAUGGAAAUCACAAAUCAUUCCUCACACAGACUGUGGCUGGGGGGAAACUGAACCCAUUCUAAGAAGAUAUGCCCACGGGGGUCUUAUCCCAGGCUCUGGUGCCUCCAAAUUCCAGUGCCUGUUGAACCUGGCCUGGAGGCCUGAGACAGGAUGAUCUGGGGGUAAGACCAGAAUCAUUGUCCUUUCUUUUCUUAUUUUUUCAGCUGUACUGUGGGCAGAUGCCCUGUCUCACAUACAGAGGAUCAAAAGGCUGGUUUGAGAAGGGAGUUCGUUUCCUGACCGGCCUCCAGGUCCUGUGAGGUCCAACCACUGACCACUGCUCCCAACUCAGCUGCAGCCACACUGGCCACUUUCUGCUUCUCAAAUAUGCAUGCCUUGUCCUCACCUCUCAUGGGCUGAACUGCAUCUCUCCCCAAAAUAUCUAGAAGCCCUUGGAACCUGUGAGUGGGAUCUUAUUUGAAAAUUAGGUCUUUACAGAUGUAACUUAAGGAUCUGGAGAUGAGGUCAUCCUGGAUUUAGGGUGGGCCGUAACCCCAAUGACUUGGUGUCCUUACAAGAAGGUCACACGAAGACACACGCACACAGGGAGAACUCUGAUGGGGGAGACAGGGGUUGGGGGAGGCAGCCACCAGCCGAGAAUUACCAGCAACCACCAGAAGGUGAAAAAGGUGAGGAAGGAUCCUCCCCUAAAGACUUCAGAGAGACCACGGCCCUGCUGACACCUUCAUUUUGGAUCUCUAGUCUCCAGAAGUAUGAGAAGAUACAUUGCAGUUGUUCUAACCCUCCCCCCCCCGCCAUUGAUGGUAAUUUAUUACAGGAGCCCAAGGACAUUAACACAUCAUCUCAGGGCCUUUGCAUGUCCUGAGCUCUUCUUUUUUUUUUUUUCCUUUACGUUUAUUUAUUUAUUUAUUUUUGAGGGAGACAGAGACAGCAUGAGUGGGGCAGAAAGAGAGGGAGAGAGAAAAUCCCAGGCAGGGUCCACGCUGUCAGCACAGAGCCUGAUGUGGGGUUCAAACUCACGAAACCACGAGAUCAUGACCUGAGCCCAAACCAAGAGCCAGAGGCCUAACCGACAGAGCCACCGAGGUGCCCCCCGAAUUCUUCUUUCAACGCUUCACCUGAUCGAGGCCAGUUCAUCCCUUGGGCCUCAGCUUAAAUGCCUCAGCCUGAGAGGACACA
rnacentral:lncRNA from 1 species